ensembl:lncRNA
CCCUCCCUCCACCGGGAAGGGUGCUGUGUGUCUCUGUGGAAUUAGAGCCUGGUAUGGGGGGGGGGGGUCUACCUCCAGCAUGCUGACAUCAAAAGGCUCUUUGGUGGCAGCCUUCACAAGGAGGAGCAUCUCACUACGGACUCCUGGAGACACAUCCAACUUACUUCAUAUAAACACCUCCCUCUGCAACUGUGUCCUGGACUUCCUGACGGGCCACCCCCAGGUGGUAAGGGACAGGACAAUGGUCUAAUUCACUCAUUAAACAGAGAACAUCCCUGGUCAUCCCUACUGCCUCUGAUCUGGAGGACUCACUACACAGAGAACAUCCCUGGUCAUCCCUAC